GCGAUCAUGGUGUAGUGGUUUGAGCAUUGGACUAUGGCUCUGGAGACAAGGGUUCAAAUCCCAUGGUGACC